GACGUAGGGCGCGAGCGUUGUCCGGAUUUAUUGGGCGUAAAGAGCUCGUAGGCGGCUUGUCGCGUCGUCCGUGAAAACCCACAGCUCAACUGUGGGCUUGCGGUCGAUACGGGCAGGCUAGAGUUCGGUAGGGGAGACUGGAAUUCCUGGUGUAGCGGUGAAAUGCGCAGAUAUCAGGAGGAACACCGGUGGCGAAGGCGAGUCCCUGGACAACUCCUGACACUGAGGCACGAAAGCUAGGGGAGCAAACAGG
rnacentral:rRNA from 1 species